GCUAUACAUGCAAGUCGAACGCACUCUCGUUUAGAUUGAAGGAGCUUGCUCCUGAUUGAUAAACAUUUGAGUGAGUGGCGGACGGGUGAGUAACACGUGGGUAACCUGCCCUAAAGUGGGGGAUAACAUUUGGAAACAGAUGCUAAUACCGCAUAAAACCUAACACCGCAUGGUGUAGGGUUGAAAGAUGGUUUCGGCUAUCACUUUAGGAUGGACCCGCGGUGCAUUAGUUAGUUGGUGAGGUAAAGGCUCACCAAGACCGUGAUGCAUAGCCGACCUGAGAGGGUAAUCGGCCACACUGGGACUGAGACACGGCCCAGACUCCUACGGGAGGCAGCAGUAGGGAAUCUUCCACAAUGGACGAAAGUCUGAUGGAGCAACGCCGCGUGAGUGAAGAAGGUUUUCGGAUCGUAAAACUCUGUUGUUGGAGAAGAAUGUAUCUGAUAGUAACUGAUCAGGUAGUGACGGUAUCCAACCAGAAAGCCACGGCUAACUACGUGCCAGCAGCCGCGGUAAUACGUAGGUGGCAAGCGUUGUCCGGAUUUAUUGGGCGUAAAGCGAGCGCAGGCGGUUUCUUAAGUCUGAUGUGAAAGCCUUCGGCUCAACCGAAGAAGUGCAUCGGAAACUGGGAAACUUGAGUGCAGAAGAGGACAGUGGAACUCCAUGUGUAGCGGUGAAAUGCGUAGAUAUAUGGAAGAACACCAGUGGCGAAGGCGGCUGUCUGGUCUGUAACUGACGCUGAGGCUCGAAAGCAUGGGUAGCAAACAGGAUUAGAUACCCUGGUAGUCCAUGCCGUAAACGAUGAGUGCUAGGUGUUGGAGGGUUUCCGCCCUUCAGUGCCGCAGCUAACGCAUUAAGCACUCCGCCUGGGGAGUACGACCGCAAGGUUGAAACUCAAAGGAAUUGACGGGGGCCCGCACAAGCGGUGGAGCAUGUGGUUUAAUUCGAAGCAACGCGAAGAACCUUACCAGGUCUUGACAUCCUUUGACCACUCUAGAGAUAGAGCUUUCCCUUCGGGGACAAAGUGACAGGUGGUGCAGGGUUGUCGUCAGCUCGUGCCGGGAAAUGUUGGGUUAAGUCCCGCAACGAGCGCACCCUUAUUACUAGUUGCCAGCAUUAGUUGGGC
rnacentral:rRNA from 1 species